rnacentral:rRNA from 1 species
UCAGUUGCGAUCUACGUCGGCGUUCCGCGCCGCGGAUAACCGUAGUAAUUCGUAGGGACUAAUACGUGCGAAGCGCCGAAGCCGCGAGGCGACGGCGUUCUCGCCGGAUGUAGGAACCGACCCGGGGACCGCCGGGGCAACCCGGCGCCCCCGAGACGGGGCGAACCACGGUGAAAUGACGGAUCGUCGGCCCCGCGCCGGCGACUCGCCGAAUGAGUUUCUGACCUAUCAACUCGAGACGGCGGGGUAGAGGCCCGCCGCGGUAACGACGGGUAACGGGGAAUCAGGGUUCGAUUCCGGAGAGGGAGCCCGAGAAACGGCUACCACUUCCAAGGAAGGCAGCAGGCGCGCAACUUACCCUAAUCUCGAUUCGAGGAGGUAGUGACAAGAAAUACCGAUGCGGGACCCUACGGGUGCCGCGUUCGGAAUGAGUACGAUUCGAACCACCUAACGAGGAACGAUCGGAGGGCAAGUCUGGUGCCAGCAGCCGCGGG